GUCUGCGUCGAUUAGUGGUUAAAUCACCUCGUUGUGGUGGGGUAGCUCGAACACGUGAUUACGUAAGCCGAGGAGCCGGGUGUUCGAUCCACCCCGCGGACA